rnacentral:rRNA from 1 species
UACGGAGGGUGCGAGCGUUAAUCGGAAUUACUGGGCGUAAAGGGUGCGUAGGUGGUUGUAUAAGUUAUCUGUGAAAUCCCUGGGCUUAACCUGGGCAGGUCAGAUAAGACUGUAUGACUCGAGUAUGGGAGAGGGUAGUGGAAUUUCCGGUGUAGCGGUGAAAUGCGUAGAGAUCGGAAGGAACACCAGUGGCGAAGGCGGCUACCUGGCCUAAUACUGACACUGAGGCACGAAAGCGUGGGGAGCAAACAGGAUUAGAUACCCUGGUAGUCCACGCUGUAAACGAUGUCAACUAGCUGUUGGGUACAUUAAAGUACUUAGUGGCGCAGCAAACGCGAUAAGUUGACCGCCUGGGGAGUACGAUCGCAAGAUUA